rnacentral:rRNA from 1 species
UACGUAGGAGGCAAGCGUUGUCCGGAUUUACUGGGCGUAAAGCGCGCGCAGGCGGCAUGGCAAGUAAGGUGUGAAAUCUCCCUGCCUAACGGGGAGGGUGCAUUUUAGACUGCCAAGCUAGAGGACGGUAGAGGGGGGUAGAAUUGCUGGUGUAGCGGUGAAAUGCGCAGAUAUCAGGAGGAACACCAAUGGCGAAGGCAGCUCGCUGGGACGUGACUGACGCUGAGACGCGAAAGCGUGGGGAGCAAACAGG